rnacentral:rRNA from 1 species
GGAGUUAGCCGGUGCUUCUUCUGUGAGUGAUGUCCUUCCUGCCGGCUAUUAACCCGCAGGCCUUCUUCCUCACUGAAAGUGCUUUACAACCCGAAGGCCUUCUUCACACACGCGGCAUGGCUGGAUCAGGGUUGCCCCCCAUUGUCCAAUAUUCCCCACUGCUGCCUCCCGUAGGAGUCUGGGCCGUGUCUCAGUCCCAGUGUGGCUGAUCAUCCUCUCAGACCAGCUACGGAUCGUCGCCUUGGUGAGCCGUUACCUCACCAACCAGCUAAUCCGACAUAGGCUCAUCCGAUAGCGCGAGGCCCGAAGGUCCCCCGCUUUCCCCCGUAGGGCGUAUGCGGUAUUAGCCUGGGUUUCCCCAGGUUAUCCCCCACUACCGGGCAGAUUCCUAUGCAUUACUCACCCGUCCGCCGCUCGCCACCAGGGAGCAAAGCUCCCCGUGCUGCCGCUCGACUUGCAUGUGUUAGGCCUGCCGCCAGCGUUCAAUCUGAGCCAGGAUCAAAACUCUGA